rnacentral:rRNA from 1 species
AUAAUAACCAGCCUCUUAAUUAGAGGAUAGUAUGAAAGAAGACACGACUUAUAAUCUUUCUAUAAUUUACGUUACUAAAUUUACCUAGAAGUAAAAAGGCUUCUGUCCCUAAGAAGGACAACAAGACCCUAACGAGCUUUAAACUAAUUUAGCUGGGGCAGCUUAUAAACAAAAAUCUUAUAUCAAUAACAAUACAGACCCUAUACAAUUGAACAAAAAUCAAGCUACCGUAGGGAUAACAGCGAAACUAGGUUUAAGAGACCCUAUCUAAAUCCUAUCCUUCGACCUCGAUGUUGAAUUAACGUCACUAUACUGAGCAAAAAAAGUAUAAGUAGGUCUGUUCGACCUAUAACCCGUUACAUGAUUUGAGUUCAGACCGGCGCAAGCCAGGUCAGCUUAUAUCCUCUUCCAAAACUGUGUCAGUACGAAAGGACCACACAAAAAAUUAAA